rnacentral:rRNA from 1 species
GACGAACCGUGCGAACGUUAUUCGGAAUCACUGGGCUUAAAGCGCGUGUAGGCGGGAGGGCACGUCCGUUGCUGAAAUCCCCCGGCUCAACCGGGGAACGGGCGCGGAUACGACUCUCCUUGAGGGGCGUAGGGGGACCUGGAACUUCCGGUGGAGCGGUGAAAUGCGUAGAUAUCGGAAGGAACACCAGUGGCGAAAGCGGCUUCCUGGUCCAGCACCGACGUUCAGGCACGAAAGCGUGGGGAGCAAACAGG